UUCACAGCAGAAGAGUGUGUGACACCUCACCAUCACCUCACAAUGUCAUGAAUCCACAGAGAAUGUUCAGAGCCAAUUUCAUUGGCCUUUCUAUGAGUGCUGUGAGCUCACUGAGAGUCACCACCAUUUCCAUGCUACAGAUAGGAAAUGGGAAGCCCCAGGCCUACCCAUGGUGACACGCUCAGCAGAGCCUGGGCCAAAAGUCAAGUCUUCAUGUGCUACUUCUAAAGGAGAAAGCACCGAAGCUCAACAUGUUUCCACAUCAAAUUCCAACAGAAAAGACUCAACUUACAUUCAAAUGCCACUGUACGAGACGCUGGAUUUGACCCGAACAUAGGAAGCAUGGUUAAUCACUUUUAUCUGACAAUUUCAGAUAUGCAGUAGCAAUUGCACAGGUACCUGCUACCCAAACAUGCGCUGGAGAAGCAAGACGAAGCAAGCCAAUUUCGCUCUCAUCCUGGAGAGCCAGCUGAAGCCUCGGGUUCUACAGGGGAGAGACAGGCUUCUGUGCGAUGUCAGACCAGCUCCCUCAUAGCAUUACCUAACAGCAGAGGCAAGAGGCUGAACUUACAGGACCCCAGCUCUCAUGAUAGAGCUGGUUCUGAAACCCGCAAAGGCCCUCUAGAUAAGCCGUGAUAGGACGUUCAGCGGCGCCCGGAGUGAGGCAAUUUGGUUUCCCAGAUUGAACAUUGGAAGGCUGACCAUCAGGAUCCCCAAAUACUCCACCUGCCAAGCACUGCGCAGUGACAUUGCACUCUGGCAGUUACCCCAACCACAGCCCAGCAUAGCUGUGUGCACACACUGCCCAGCACGGUGCCAUCCACACAGCUGACUGACAUAGAAGAGAGUCGUGUGUCUCUAUAGCAUUAAUAAUAUUGAUAAUAAAAGUAUUAUCCGU